ACUUUAAUGGUCUUUAAGAUGCCUUAGAAGAAGGAGAUACAAUAAUGUAUAAUUAUCUUCAUAUUAUCAUAUUUGUACGAACUAUUCGAUAGAUGAAUAGCUUAUCGCGUCCAUUUGUGGAUUUAAAGCCGGGACAUGUGCACCCCUUUCAGUGGCGUAACUGUGAGAGGAGGAUGAAGGGGAUAUUAGCCCCCCCACCGUGGACCUAAUAAUUAUAUGUG